rnacentral:lncRNA from 10 species
GACCGCAAGGGCAAAUACACCCUGACCCCACGUUGCUAUUGGUCCAAGAGGAUGCUCGGGUAGUCUUCGGUGGCUGCAGGAGAGCGAUGCUGCGCCUCUGCCCCUCUCCUGCCACCUGGCUGCCCACAGAGCUCUCCAGGGCAGAAGUCGCGGUGGGCUCAGUGGGUGCCCUGAGCGGGGUCUCUCAGACUGACGUCAGGCCUUGGUGGGCUGCACUCUCACCUGGAGGCUCCGGGGAAGCAUCUGCCUCCAGGACCAUUCAGGCUGUUGACAAGUCAACUCCUCAUGGCUGUAGGACUGAGGUUCCCAAGUCCUUGUCCCUGGUCCUGUGGUCCCUCCACCUUCAAACCAGCAAUGGUGCAUUGAGCAAAUUGUGGUCAAAUAUACAUCACAUCAAAUUUACCAUCUUAA